CUUUGUGUUUUUGUUUCUGAGAUACAUCCAGCCUGACUUCAAGUUUGCUAUGUAGCCAAAGAUGGCUUUUGAUCUUCCUGCCUCUACCUUUCAAGUGUUAGGACUAUAGGAUCUAGAGACUACCAUGUCUGGUUUAUGAGGUGCUGGGAGUGGAACCCAGGCCUCUUUGCAUGUUAAGCAAGCAAGCUUUCUACUUCUUGAGUUACAUUCUUAGCUUCUGCAUUGGCUGAAUACACAUUAAAGUUGAUAUUAGUAAAAAAUAGAUCCCAUAAAAGCACACCCAAAUUGAAUGUGUGUGUGUGUGGGGGGGGAUUAGUUUUUGUCUUUUGUUUUUUUAUUUCUUGAGACAGUGUUUUUCUGUGUAGCCCUGGCUGUCCUGGAACUCAUUCUGUAAACCACUCUUGCCUUGAACAGUACUGGGAUUAAAUGUGUGUGCCACCACCUGGAUGACCUGAAUUGUUACUCAUUCUGGAUAGGCUGACCAGUUGUCUGGUGGUUACUGCUACUGAUCCAUCCCAACUGCUGGACUUCUCCUUCAUACCCAAGGCCUCCAGGCAGUAUCUAUGUGGAGUCAACACUAAAAGGGAGCAGACACCAUUUCCCAGGCCCUUUAUUCUGGUGACUGAUGGAAGAGUGGGAGGGCAAUAUAUUUACUUGUUUAAUGGGUGGAAAAACAGAUCAAGGUACUGUACCUCUUCAGUUUCUAUUCUGAGUUCUGCAACUAUGCCACUUGGAUUGUAUAUAUUGGGGGAGGUUGAAAAUGUGUCUUUCAUUAGAAGUGUCUUGAGGGGAUAUAGUCAGUGUGAAAUAUGUUGAAGUCCUGAAAUAAUGUGCCCAUCUGAGGAAUUAAAAAAAAAAAGUUUGUAAAAAUACCAUAGAUGGAGCCUGCCUGCUCAUUUCCCCACCACAGAUUUUUUGGACUGGAGGCACAUGUUUAAUAGUAGUUUGUCUCUGAUAUUCACAGUAGCUACCCCUAUGUGAGGAAAGGAUAGAAAACAUUCAAGACUUCAUGUGGGCUUAUGAUCUACAGAUUCCAACCAGUAGCAGUGGCUGACUCCUACACAGAAGACUGGGAACUGCAAACAGACUGGGGUCACCUCAGUGACAUCUGACGCUGUCCAACCAGAAGUCUGACUUUUUUUUCGGGGAAGAGGGGCGGUGAAAAUGUUCUAAGAGACUAAAAUAAUUUUGUCUCUAUACUUUC
rnacentral:lncRNA from 1 species